GGCUUCGCUUUGACCAAAAAGAAUCUGACAAGGCCGGUAAGAGCUUUUAAUUAUCUCCAGAUAAAACCUUCAGCCAUUAGCAGGUAUGUAGACGGCACACAGUACAUUCAGCCAUUAGCAGGUAUGUAGACGGCACACAGUACAUUCAGCCAUUAGCAGGUAUGUAGACGGCACACAGUACAUUCAGCCAUUAGCAGGUAUGUAGACGGCACACAGUACAUUCAGCCAUUAGCAGGUAUGUAGACGGCACACAGUACAUUCAGCCAUUAGCAGGUAUGUAGACGGCACACAGUACAUUCAGCCAUUAGCAGGUAUGUAGACGGCACACAGUACAUUCAGCCAUUAGCAGGUAUGUAGAUGGCACACAGUACAUUCAGCCAUUAGCAGGUAUGUAGAUGGCACACAGUACAUUCAGCCAUUAGCAGGUAUGUAGACGGCACACAGUACAUUCAGCCAUUAGCAGGUAUGUAGACGGCACACAGUACAUUCAGCCAUUAGCAGGUAUGUAGAUGGCACACAGUACAUUCAGCCAUUAGCAGGUAUGUAGACGGCACACAGUACAUUCAGCCAUUAGCAGGUAUGUAGACGGCACACAGUACAUUCAGCCAUUAGCAGGUAUGUAGACGGCACACAGUACAUUCAGCCAUUAGCAGGUAUGUAGACGGCACACAGUACAUUCAGCCAUUAGCAGGUAUGUAGACGGCACACAGUACAUUCAGCCAUUAGCAGGUAUGUAGACGGCACACAGUACAUUCAGCCAUUAGCAGGUAUGUAGACGGCACACAGUACAUUCAGCCAUUAGCAGGUAUGUAGACGGCACACAGUACAUUCAGCCAUUAGCAGGUAUGUAGACGGCACACAGUACAUUCAGCCAUUAGCAGGUAUGUAGAUGGCACACAGUACAUUCAGCCAUUAGCAGGUAUGUAGAUGCAUUCAACCACUCAUGAAAACACUACACUAUAUACAACACUUCCAUCAUUAAAAAAAAAAAUCAAUAUUAAACUAUUUGUGGGUAACAAUUAAGUACCUUACUGUAAUACAUUUCCAUUCAAAUGGGUAAAAAUGACCUUUUAGCAAAAAAAUAAAUACUUUUGGACUGUCUGGGAGUGGUCUGAGUGGGGAGGGGGAAAGUGAAAACUUGCGGUUAUUGGCAGAGGUUUAGAACUCUCUCUGUUAUUGGUCUAUUAACCACCAUGAUGUCACCAUGGAAAGACGAAACUCCCGCCCAUGCAAACCUGCUGAUGAGAAGGUUCUGUGUAGAUUGUAUUUUCAACCAACAACUAUCAGGAAAUAACACUGACCAACACUUUUCACACUUUUACAGUGUUGGUUUCAUCAUCUGUUGUACAAUAAUGAUACAAAACAAUUUUGACUGGACUGGGCUUUCAAUGGCGUCCUAAUAAUACAAUACCUUCAGAAAUAUUCACACCCCUUGACUUGUUCCACAUGUUGUUGUGUUACAGCGUACAGAAUGUACCAUCUACAAAAAAAAUAUCCCAUAAUGACAAAGUGAAAACAUGUUUUUAGACAUUUUUGCAUCUUACUACAUUGUACAGUCUGAACAUUACCCCACCACCCCUCUCCGUUCUCUCACCUCACCCCUCUCACCUCCCUGUUCCUGUGCCGGUGAAGGACAAAGGAAGAUGCUAUAGAAAACCCUCACACUCCGUCUCUGUGCUUUGUCCACAGUAGAGAUGAGAGAAUAGCAGAAAAGCACAAAGACAGACAGACAGGAAAUACACUGAGAAAGAGUGUGUGUGUUGUCAAGGACAGUGCAGUGGUACAGUAUGUCAGGAGGAGCCAAGAGACAC